AGUGAACGCUGGCGGUAGGCCUAACACAUGCAAGUCGAACGGCAGCACAGUAAGAGCUUGCUCUUACGGGUGGCGAGUGGCGGACGGGUGAGGAAUACAUCGGAAUCUACUUUUUCGUGGGGGAUAACGUAGGGAAACUUACGCUAAUACCGCAUACGACCUACGGGUGAAAGCAGGGGAUCUUCGGACCUUGCGCGAUUGAAUGAGCCGAUGUCGGAUUAGCUAGUUGGCGGGGUAAAGGCCCACCAAGGCGACGAUCCGUAGCUGGUCUGAGAGGAUGAUCAGCCACACUGGAACUGAGACACGGUCCAGACUCCGACGGGAGGCAGCAGUGGGGAAUAUUGGACAAGGGGCGCAAGCCUGAUCCAGCCAUACCGCGUGGGUGAAGAAGGCCUUCGGGUUGUAAAGCCCUUUUGUUGGGAAAGAAAAGCAGCAGGUUAAUACCCCGCUGUUCUGACGGUACCCAAAGAAUAAGCACCGGCUAACUUCGUG
rnacentral:rRNA from 1 species